AUGACAUACAAUUUUCAGGUUACCCUACAUUUAUGCAGGAGUUACCCGAAGUAAUUGAUGUGGAUCAAGAAGCAACACCACAAACAGAAGUGAUUGUUAUAGAGGAUAACGAGUUUGAGGAACAACAGACAGAAGCUGUAUCUUUA